GAUAGAUGAAUGGGUGAGUGGAUGAGCUGGUGGGUAGACGGGUGGGUGGAUGGGUGGAUGAGAGAGAAAGGGAGGGAACACAGGGCCCACCUUGCCCCAGGCUCACCUGCAUCCUUGCCUGGCUCCCCAGCGUCCUCAGGCCUUGCAACUCCUCCUGGACCAUCUGUCCCUGAGCUGACAGUCAUUCUGUUGCUGUUGCCGAUGGCAGUGUCCUCAAGGAUGCACGAACUGAUGUGGACUCUCUGGGCCACAUCCCCCUCGGAGGAAGGUCCUGGUUUGGGUGUUCGAAUUUCGAACGAAGCCUCUGUGUCACCAGGGGUGGCAAAGGCUGUCGGGCAGCCAAAGACAGAGAUGUCAGAGGGGCCGCACGGGCAGCUGGAUGGUGGCCUCGAGCCUUGACCCCCAGCCUGGCUUCCAAGUUCUCCCCGGCCAACUCUCCUCCCUGAAGCCAGGCUAGACUCGGCCCACGGCCAAAACCCUGCCCCCCUCAGCAUCUCUGCACAUGGCCUGGGCUGCCGGCCCUCUCUGCCACCCAGGUCAGCCAGCCUGAGUGCCACCUCUUCACAGGCCCUUCCCCUGGGCUUCGGCCACCUCCCCACCACCUCCCCGCCACUGGCUGCUCCCUUCGUGCCGCUGGUUUGCCCGAAGCCCUGCAAUACCAUCUCCCUCUCUGGUUAAAACCUCAGCGCAGCCAUAGCCGGUCCCCAGCCCCUGCCACCUGGCUCCUUUCCCAUGCAAACUUCGGACGAGAAUUGUGCAGUCUCCCCUCCUCCUACUCCUCUGUCCCCCCAGCUUGUCUCGGACCCCUCUUACUGGACCCCAUGGAGCUCCCUGACCUCAUCGGCUUCUCCUUUCUGGAAACUUUCCUCCUGGUGUCCCCGGCCUCCCUGGUCUCCCUGCUGUUUUCUGUCCCCAGCUUGUCUCUGGGUUCCCAGUGCUGAAGAGGACUUGGCCUGGGCUCUCUGGUCACUGUCGACAGCACUUGGUGGGUCACCAGGUACUUAGAUGUAUCCUCCUUAGAUGCCAUUCCAGUCUGGCCAUCUCCUCUGACCCUGCUCUGGCUGGCCCCUGCCUGUCAUACAGAUGAGGACACAGGAUCCCGAGAGAUGACUCUACAGCCCCACCUGCUCUACAGCGUAACAGCCUCCAGGUGGAAGGAAAGGAAUUUCCCAUCGUGCCUCUCUCCCUGCCAAGGCCAGCUCAAGUUCUGCCCAGGGAGGAGAUGAAUGGGGUGGGGUGAGGGCAGGGUGGGGUACCUGAGGAGCUGCCAAAGGGGCUGCAGGCGGCAGGGCCCUUGGUUGGCGUGCUGUUGAGGUUCAUCAUGUUGUCAUGUCCCAUCUGUACCCGUCUGAGCAUAGUCUUCUCCAAGUGGAUGUCCUGGGGUCCCCAGGCUGCAGCUGGGGAACCCUGAGUGGAGGGAUCAGCUGGCAUCACGGGAGGGAGGGGAGCCAUGGAGCCUGGCAGGGGACACGGCAACGUGACCUCUGAGCCCUCUGACUUCCCCUGGGAGACAGGCCUCUGAAUUCCUUGUGGGCUCUAAGGGACUGGGGAUGAGUGUUUCAGACUAUUGAUGGGGAAGCAGAACAGUGAGGGGGGUGUCUCCCGGGUUUUUACGACUGGUGCCUGGGAUGUCCCUGGGGUGCCCAGAAACCCAGUCAGCGAGCACAGCCUCUGCUCCCUAGGGCCAAUCUCCUUGGGCAUGAGUCCUCAGCCGUGAGCAUUCGGAGCCUUGACAUCCUUUUCUCUUCUCGGUAUUUAUUUUUAUGAGAAAUUAGAACAUUUUUGUAGACCUCUGAUGCCAGGCCCCGUGCCUGCUGCGCCUGAUGGACAAGUCACCUGGGACCCCACCCUGCGGGUGUCUGAGCCCAGCCUUCUCUUCCUGCAACUUCCAAACUCCAAGUUGGACAAAGUGCUAACAGUUUUGUGUCAGCUGAGCUCCGCAUCCUAUGAACACCUCUUAUCCCAGCCCUUUGCCUUCUGCAACUACAGCCUUAGGCCACUCCUCCAGGAAGCCCUCCUUGGUUACUCCCACCAGCACACCCGCUCUCCUGGUACCCCCUUUUAGUGACCCAUUAGCAAGACCGCUGCAAGCUACUGUGAGGGUCUGAAGAGGAAGGUGGAGCUGGCAAAAUGCCUGGCAGGGCGCCCAGCAAGGACCAAGCGUUAGAUGUUGCAGCUUCUCUUCGUAGCCCUGCCCCAUCCAAGCAUGGGCAGCAGGUCAGCACCUACCUACCUGGUUGAUAAAUUGCCCAUGUACUUGUCUUCUCAUCAAA